ensembl:lncRNA
AACAAGGAUUCUUCAGCUUUACUACUCUGCUUUCUUUCUGUCAUUACACUAACGUCUUAAGCAAACAGGAUUCCAACUUGGGCGAGGAUCAAAUUCAAAGCCUACCACUCAUAUGAAGUUAAAACUCUAGUUCUUUAAAAAGAAAAAAAAAACAAAAACCCUGAACCUGAAUAAAAGCCCAUCAUUCUGAAAGAUCAAAAUAAGACAAUCAAGGUGUUGUCAAAGUUCAAGGCGAACAGCUGGGAGCACUGACAACACGAUGGGGAAAGUUGCCGUUUCUGUCUCAACGUGGUGGCCAGGAGACCCCAAGCCUUUGUCACUGCGGCUGGAAAUCACAUUAUUGUGAUUCUGCAGUUCAAAGGGCCGCCUGCUAAGGGUGCCCCAAAGUUCUGCCCACCUGGGUUACAGACAGUUUUCCUCUAGUCUUAGUUGGAUUGCACAGCACACUGAUUUCCACCUUAAAAGCGCAGACAGCAGGAACCUGCCAUGGUCCCACCACUGCACUCUCCCGCACCCAGGCAGGCACUGCCCCUGGGUCACAAAGCUCCUCUCCAUGGACCCCAAAGAGCUUGGAAAAACCUUUCUUAGAACAGUGGAGCCACCACUAGCUAUUUGAAGUGGGUCUACAAGAAGAAAUUUUCCUCAUCGACCCUACCUUUAAAAGAACACUCACGCCUCAAUCAUAUCAGAUUCGAAGGUGCAUAGGUCAUAAACAUCCUUCAUAGCAUAACGGCAAGGGAAACAUCAAGGCACGAGAAAAUCUGAAUAGAAGCCAGCAGCACACCCUUCUUGUCAAAAGCACAACAGCUAGCUUAGGCUAAAAACUCACAGCUGUCGUCCUCCCGAGGUCAAAGCCUUCCUGCUCCUCACAGCAAGCCUGGUCUUUCUCUGUGCUCAGCCCAAUCUGCCCUGGAUUCUGGUUGAAUGACCCCCUCUUUGCUCAUGACCUGGGCUAAGCUGGGGAGAACAGACCACAGGUUAUGUGCCUCUCAGGGAACAAUGAAACGUGCCUUGGAACAGGAGGAAGGAGUGCUGUAACAUGGAUUCCGGGGAGGGCUGGAUUAAGUUUGAGAUGAAAGAAGGAUUGCAGCUUCAAUGCAGUUUGGAGGUGAAGGGUUGAUGGAGAGUUAACAGGUGACACAGGACUUCUCAGAGCCUUUAAUACACUUUGAAAUGUUGUAUUAAGGAGAUCCAAGAAGGUGGACAGUUUUUUGCUUUGAUUAUUUGUAUGCUUUGCAGAACCUCUCAAGGGUCUGUAAGCCUUUAGCAACUUCCAUAGGCUAAACAUGCAGACAGGUCACCCAUCUCAUGAGAGGCAGUGCUCGUUUGGGUACGAAGUUUUCAACUCCCAGCUGGCUCUCAGCUCUCCUGGUCACUAUGGAAACAGGCCAACCAAAACCACAGUGAACCUUCAAGAGAAGGGGAGGGAAGUGCCAUAAAGAGUCAGGAAAAAAGGAAAAGGAGAAAGAAGUUCACUGAGCUUCUUAUUCUAAUGCCAACAUUAACGAUAAUCACGAGGCCUUGUCAUCUCUGCAGUAAGAUCUCUGCCACGGCACAGAUCACUAAUGCCUCUGCUGGCUGGUGAUUAAAACCUGCUCCACGCCCAUCGUCCUGGUGUGACAGGUGGCUUGGGCAGGAGUCUCGAACGCUCCUUAAAGGGCACAUGCUACUGCUGUCAGUUCUGGUAACUGUGGGACCAGCGGGGGUGGUCACGCAUUUCAGGAGGAGGUGCAGAACCCACCAUCACAACUCAUGCAGACUAGGAGACCUCGACCCCUGGGAGGAGGCCUGGCCAGGAUCUCUCCCGUCCUUUAGGAGGUGGGAAGCAGCUCGAGACUUGUUAAAGAGUGUGCCCCCAGCACAGGGCUACCUGGCGACGGCCGGGCGGGAUAGGAUCUGGUGCCGGAGUUGGGGAGAUGCUCCGACAGCCUCCUCUGGUCGGAAUCCCUGGGCCCUCCCUCGUGUGGGAGCCUCCUGGGGUGUCUCAGAGCAGGGGUCAUAGAACACAACGGCACGUUCCACCUGCUCCCUUCUUUCCUGAGUGAUAAAUGGAGAUUGGCGGGGCUCAGUACAUCAGUAAUCUAAUAAACAGUGGCUUCCAGAAGAGACAGUAAAAAGACCAAAGCACAAAUUACAGAAUAACGCUUAUCAAGAGCCACGUGCCUGUUUUCCUUUCUCCCCUGUUCCCUUUUGGAAUUCGGGACGAUGACCAACCGGGAGAAAUGGCCACCUGAGGAAGAAAGCCCAGUGGGGAAACGUCCCUGGUGAGAAGUCCCACACCUCACCUGACUGCCUGGGCUGCUGGUGACCCUCGGUCACUCUCCAGGAGCCUCUGUGCCCUGCCUGUAAAAAACCACCUCACCAGUGAUUCCCAAGCGUGGCUGACACUCAGUCAUUCCGAGGACAGUAGUUUUCAGCCCCCCUCAGUCCCCUUCAGAAUCGCUAAUUCUGAGGUGGGGC